rnacentral:rRNA from 1 species
AACGAACGCUGGCGGCAUGCCUAACACAUGCAAGUCGAACGAGACCUUCGGGUCUAGUGGCGCACGGGUGCGUAACGCGUGGGAACCUGCCCUUAGGUUCGGAAUAACUCCCCGAAAGGGGUGCUAAUACCGGAUAAUGUCUUCGGACCAAAGAUUUAUCGCCUUUGGAUGGGCCCGCGUUGGAUUAGCUAGUUGGUAGGGUAAAAGCCUACCAAGGCGAGGAUCCAUAGCUGGUCUGAGAGGAUGAUCAGCCACACUGGGACUAAGACACGGCCCAGACUACUACGGGAGGCAGGAGUGGGGAAUAUUGGAAAAUGGGCGGAAGGAUGAUCGAGCAAUGCCGCGUGAGUGAUGAAGGCGUUAGGGUUGUAAAGCACGUUUACCCGGGAUGAUAAUGACAGUACCGGGAGAAUAAGCACCGGCUAACUCCGUG